UAUGUCUCAAAAUAUUUUCUAACAUAAAUGAGAUAGGUCGGACAGAAACAUGAAUUCUCAUUUUUUAUAAACAUAUAAAAAGGUAAAAAUAAAAAUAACAUUUCUUUAAAAGUUUCCAAUAUGAAUUUAACUAUUUUUUUCCAAUACAACACAUAUGUUAAACUAAUAAACAAAAUAAAAAAUUAACAAUAUUUCAUAAAAUUGAAAAUUAAAAUAAAAAACAUUAUUAAAUGAAAUAAACUAAAUAUAAAGUAAAUUAUGCUAAUAUUAUAAAUUCGAAAAUUGUUCCAUAUGAAAAACCAAAAAAAA
rnacentral:lncRNA from 1 species